AUUGAACGCUGGCGGCAGGCCUAACACAUGCAAGUCGAGCGGAUGAAGGGAGCUUGCUCCUGGAUUCAGCGGCGGACGGGUGAGUAAUGCCUAGGAAUCUGCCUGGUAGUGGGGGAUAACGUCCGGGAACGGGCGCUAAUACCGCAUACGUCCUGAGGGAGAAAGUGGGGGAUCUUCGGACCUCACGCUAUCAGAUGAGCCUAGGUCGGAUUAGCUAGUUGGUGGGGUAAAGGCCUACCAAGGCGACGAUCCGUAACUGGUCUGAGAGGAUGAUCAGUCACACUGGAACUGAGACACGGUCCAGACUCCUACGGGAGGCAGCAGUGGGGAAUAUUGGACAAUGGGCGAAAGCCUGAUCCAGCCAUGCCGCGUGUGUGAAGAAGGUCUUCGGAUUGUAAAGCACUUUAAGUUGGGAGGAAGGGCAGUAAGUUAAUACCUUGCUGUUUUGACGGUACCAACAGAAUAAGCACCGGCUAACUUCGUG
rnacentral:rRNA from 1 species